UAAUCAGUUAUUUCCCUUUAAGACCCGUGAUUUUAUGGGGUUUUGUUUGUUUGUUUGUUUGUUUGUUUUUGGUUCCAGCACUUUUACCUUUUUUUUUUUUGAGGAAGAUACUAAAAAACAUAAAUAUGGAGUUUCUUAACAAUCUAACCAUCACUGGUCACUUUCAUUUUUGGAUCUUGAACCAUAUUAUCUAACAUUUUUCAAUAUUUAUUCCAUGUCAUCCUUCAAGUAUGGUUUGUGGAUGAUGCUCUGGAUAGAAUGCUGGCCUUGAAGCCUAGAAGGCCUGGAUCAAAUCUCACCUUUCUGAUACUUAGUAAUGUGUAGCCCUAGGCAUGUUCUCUUCCUUCACUAACCUUUAAUUUUCUUAUGUUGAAUUUUUUUGUGGUUGAGACUAAAAUCUAAAAUAUUUUAAUUAGGUGGUCAUCAGGGAUUUCAUUUCUAAAUCCCAAAAUGAAUUACUAAAGGAAAGAGAAUUUAUGGUAGUUUAUUUAUAAUAGAGAGAAGAUAUUAAAGAAUGAGAGAGAGAGAGAGAGAGAGAGAGAGAGAGAGAGAGAGAGAGAGAGAGAGAGAGAGAGAGAGAGAGAGAGGAAACUCCAGCUUCCUCUGAGCCAGGUAUAAAUACUAAGGCCCUAAUCAGGAAAAAGAAUCUCAAGACAAUGGGCCUUUCUUGGAGGUUUAUACCUCCAAGAAAGGCAGGGUCACUAAGUCAGCCUUUUACUCACCAACAGUGACUGUCUAAAAUGGAAAGCAGUCUGAGGUCUCCUGCAUGAGCUCCUCCUGGGGUCCAGUUCCACAGUCUCUCCUCCAAGUCAGAGAGCUCUUUGAUCUCCUCGAAUUGAAUAUCCUCCAUCCAACUCGAAUCUCUCAAAUCAAAUAUCUCUGAAAUCUUCUUCUGGCCUCUGGUCCUCUUUUAAAAGAUCUUUUUCUCUUGUGUCACCUCCCCUAAAUUUCACAUCUACCAAUCACAGCAGAUGCUUUUCUCCAGAACUGCCCACUCUUUAGUUCCCAUCUUCUUUGGUUAGAUUAUACCCUUUGGGUUACUUAAUACCUUUUUUGGUUAGUUCACCUUUAGUAAUUGCUUAACACCUUUUUGUAGUUAAAAUUGGUAGAUCUACUUAAAAUACUGAGUUAUCACCUUUUGGGGAUUAAAGUCUAAAAAUAGAUUGUGGAUUACAACUUAAUCUUCCCAAUAAAGGAAGAGCCAAGUACCUUCAUUGUUACAAUCAGGGGAUUACAAUUUAAUCUUCACAAUAAAGGAAGAGCUAAGUAUCUUCAUUGUUACAAUCAGGAGAUAGCCAAUCUUCAUACUUAUCCCCAAAAUGGUGAUGAUGGAAUCUCCUUCAUAGGAUUAUUGUGAAACUCAAAUGAAAUGGUGUAUGAAAAGUGCUUUGCCAGUUUUUUAAACCUUAUACAGAAAUCAGUCACUAGUAUUACAUGGCUUGACUUUGAAGAUCUUGUCAGAUUCUUCAUAGGCUUUCACCAUUUCAUCAUCUUCUCUAAUGUAUGUUGGCAUUUGAUCUGCAGUUGGUUUUUUGCCUGCAUCAAUUGUGAGCCCUACAAAGUGAAAUUAUUAUUCUUUGAAAUGUUUUUUGUUUUAUUUGGGUACAUCAUGAAACUGCUUAACCAACUCUUUUCUUUGCUUCUUCAAGAAGGUCCUGUGUGCAGUCCCUCCAUUUACUGGCAAUUUCUUGAUAUCUUCUGAUUUCACAUAUUAAUAAUGCUCAAUAUUUUCGGGGUUUAGUUCCUCCAGUCAUAUAUCAACUCACUGGACAAAUGUCUUUCAUUUAGAGCAUGAAUAAUUACACUAUGUUUAUAGACUAGCCGAAGCAUUGAAAACAGUUUAGACAGUGCUGCUUUAGCACUGUCUUAAAUUGAAAGGAAAUAACUGUCAGAGCCAUUAGUGCCAGGGCUCAUGGAAACAACCCUGAAAGCAUAUCAAAAAUUGGAAGUAAAUUGAUAAAUUCUGUGUAUUGAGGGAGAUCUGAUAAUUUUGGUUGUAGUUUGGCUAAUCUCAUAGAAGGGCCUUCAAGGUCAAGUUUGUCUGUCUAGACCUAAAAAAGAAUUAUCUAAUCCAGAGAUUAGGCAAGUAAUCUUGGAGUUCAUGUUGAAAUUCAGGGUCUACUGCUUACUCUUAUGAGACAUUCUCUCUGUGUUGUUGCCUUUUUCCUAGUUAUGAAAUUAGGAUAAUAAUUUUUGAGACAUAGUUAUGAUUUUUUUAAAGCUUAGAGUCAUAGAAUCUUAACAUUGAGAGGAGCCAGUCUAGCCUCCCUUCCAAGAAAGGAAUUCCUUCUUUGAGCCUAGCAGAGACAAGCUAUGGGAAAUGCAAAGUGAAAUGCACAAGAUGUCAUGGGAAAGAGGAAAAUGUUUUUUUCAGAUGGGUAAUAUGAUUAGCAAUAUGUUAUUUUUAAAUGAAAUGCACCUAUUCUGAUUUUAGUGAAUAAGCAGUCUAAGAGAUAAAAGGGCCUUGUUAUAUUACUCUACUUAUGAAAAGAAGAUGGUAGAUAAGGAAGUGUUGAUCCAAGAAGAAUAAAAUUUCAAUAUAGAGGACAGGGAACACAGAAGGAAAUUCUGAUAAAGGGAAGAGGAAAUCUAAAUGAGAGAAAAAAGCAUAGCAAUUAUGAUGGAAUGAAAAUCAAUAAAACCAAAAUGAAAAGACCAUAAGUCAAAAUGGGGCCAGAAUGUCUUGUCUGAUACAGAAACUUCCAUCCAUAUUGUUCACAGAAAAAGUUACCUUUUAGCAAGCUGUGAGCAGAAGAAGAUAGGAAUCAUAGAAAUAAAGGGAGACUCUCAGAGGUCAUCUAGUUAAUUUUUGAAAUUAGGCAGCAAGCAAAGGUACCAAAUAAUUUCAUACAGUUAAGAAACUAUCCUAUAUUUUAAGGCUCCUCCUGGAAAAGGCAAUUUUGAAUAAUUUAUAACAUCUAUCCUUGCUUAAUAAUUUUCACUUUCAGAAAAUGUUUCCUUGUCUAAAUUUCAUUUGGCUAUUGUGAAGAUUAAAAUUAUAACCCCUGACUAUUUUUAGAUUUAAUCACCAAAAGUGUAAAUACCCUAUUUAAAGGUUGAGUAUGGAGAUCUGCCCAUUUUUGGAUCUAAUCACCAAAAGUAUAAACAACCCACUUAAUCAUUAAGUUGGAGGUCUGUGACCCACAUGUACAAUAGGGGGUGACGAAUCAGAAUUAAACUAACUGCCCCAGGGCAGUCUUAAAGCAAAGCUUCAACUGUGAUUGGUAGAUGUAAAAUUAGGGGAAGACACAGGAAGUGACACAAAAGAAGCAUUUUUAAAAGGAGCUGUCACUUCCUGUGAGGGUCAGUUCUUCAUUCUUUGGAAGUGGAGACUGGAGACAAUUCUUCAUUCUUGGGAGUGGAGGCUGGACCUGAGAUUGGUGAAGCUGUUCUAAAAUCUCUUCCUUUGAACUGAAACGUGGUGAGUGAAAAGCUGACUCUUACUGCUGGAUUUUCUGAGAAAACUAACCUCAGAAGAGAUUUACCUCUUGAAGAGAGACUUAGAUAUCUUACUUAUCCUCUCUCUAAUUUUCUUCAUUCUUUCUACACUUUGUAAAUAAAUUGUAAAUAAAUCUCUUUGGAAUAAAUUAAAUUCCUGGUGACCACACUCUUAAAUAAUCCAAUCCAACCCUUUAAAAAAUAACCCCUUUCCCCCCCUUACACUGCCCAGGUUGUGUCCUAGUGAUGUCUGAAAGAGUUCUGUUUAGUUAGGUUAAAUUUCUCCACUGGCAGCCUCUUUCAUCUUUUAAGAUUACUUAUUAGACAGUUUUUGUUUGAAGAACACACAUUUAGGUAUUUGGUAAUAAAAAAAAAAGAAUAAGAAAGACUUCUAUUCCCCUCCCCCCAAUAAUGGGUGGCUCAAACUACAUUCAAUCCAGAAGUUAGAAAAGAAUUUUAUUUGAAGAAGAGGUUUAAGGUCAUGAAAUAGCCUAAUAGCUGAUGGAAUAGCCUGGGAGCUAAUCAAAUAGCUUUGGGACUGAUGAAUUAGCCCUAGGGCUAGUAGGGUAGCAGUUCUGGAACAGAUGGAAUAGCAGCUCCAUACCCCUGGGCUAAUGGAGUGGCAACUCUCAGGUUCCUGGAGUAGCCCUUUGGGCUGUGAAUCAGGGUUUGCAUAUUUAUUAGAGCCUGGGGUCUAGUAUCUCCCACUCCAGGGAAAUCUCCUCUUUUCCAGAAAACCCUGGAAAAUGGGGAUGGCCAAAUUUAGGUCUAGGUAUGAUUCUGGGUUUGGCACAUCAGAGGUUAACUUUGGGGACACCAGAAAGGGAAUAAGGAACAUGCACAGAUUUGGAGGAUCCUUCUGGAAUGCCAGAGCCUUUAAUGAGCAUGUGCCAUGUUUCCCCAUGGUUCCAUCUGGCAUCAUUUGUCAAUGUGGGAGAUGUCUCGCUAUCCUUCUGGAAUGUAGGGAGGGGAUACAGCAUGGUAGAUGACCACUAUGGAUAGUUAAUAAUGCCUAGCAGUUUAGAACUAAGGUAAAUAAAGAAUAACACGAGUAACUAAUGAUGUAGAGCAGGCACAAAGCUGAUGCCAGCAUAGAAUAUUACAGAUCCAGUAAAGGUAAUUGAUGAUACAGAAUGGGUAAAUGAUCAACAAUAUAGAUUCUACAGUGCAUGUUUGACUAAUGCUAGAACUACAGGUUUUGCAGUUGAUGCUUAACUAGUGCUAACUGGUGAGAACUGCAAGAUUUCAGAGCAUGAGGAUCCUGUUUCUAUUAGUGCCCUCCACUGCCCACUGCCAGUCUCCAUCAGUAUCAUGGAUAGUUUUAUUUUUGUUCUUGUAUCUCCAGCAUCUAGCACAGUCCGGCAUAAAGAAGCUACUUAAUGCCAAAUGAAGAUCCUUUAGCUACAAAUGUAUGAACUUAUAAUCCUAUAAGAAAGGAAAAAAAACUCAUUUUUUCUUUCUUGAAUUUUCUCUCCCUUGUAUUUUCAGGCCUCAGUGACAGAAGGAGUUCCUUUCUCUUCUAACCAUGAGGAGCAGAAAAUGCUGUCUUACAGGGUAAACACAUGACAAUCUGCCUCUACUUUUUCAGGCAAACUUGAAAGGGGAGUGCUUCUGCCUUUUUGCUUCUUUUUCUUAGCAAAAGUCAGAGACUAGAAAUACUGAGGAUGGACAUUUACAAUUUGGGCUCUUUCCUUUUGGGUAGGUUAAUUCAGUGUUCAAGAGCUGGGCACUGGCCUUGCAGAGGUAAGACCUUAAUAAUAUGUUUUUCAGAGGGAAGAUAACCCUUCAGCUAAAGGACCAAAGCCAUGCCACUUGGGACCAGUAGAUCUGACCCUUCCGACCCGUUGUGACAUUUCUGAGUUGCUCUGAUACCCAAAUGGCAUGUUUAAUAUCAUAGGAGGAAGGAAUUCUGUUACCCACUUUAGGAAAACCUAUACCUUUCCUGGGAGGAGGAAAAGGAAUAAAAAAGAGAAAUGGACCCUUUUGCAUCAGGCCCCUAGGAUAAAGCCUUGUCCAUGAGAACCCAGAGUCUUUUGGGAUGCUUGGGCUUUUAUUGACAUGAACAUAAAUGAUUGCUUUUCCAACAUAAGAACCACAGCAGAGAGUACAGGGACUAGUGACCCGCAUCAUUCUCUGUUCUGUGCCUUGUCACAGACUGGCUUCAGCUUUUUUGAAGUCUGCCUUUAAUUAGAGGGGUUAGACUCACCAUUCUCACACUUUUCAGUUCAUUAACAAAUCUCUAAUUGGAGGAAGUUGCUAAUUAUAGCAAUAAUUAUGGCCGAACAUCUUAAAAACAUUCCCCCAAAGUGUAUAGUAUAUAUCAGGUAAGGGACAGAGAAUUUAUUCCUAUGUAGAAUAAAGAAUGCUCAAUAUAAAAGGCUCAUAGUAUGCAUUAAUAGAAUGAUUUAAACAACUUAGAAACUAAACUUAUAAUUAUGGUUAAAAUUGACUAGGAGGUUAAUAUUUUGAACCUAAUCAGAACAAUAGCAUGAUUAUACAAUACUGCUACAAUACGGCUUUUCACGUUUAACUUCAGUAUUGGGUACCAUCUGGUCAUUUUUCGUCGUUGCUAGUAAAAUAAACCAGACUUGCCCCCCUCCUUCUAGUAGCUGAAUUUUCUAAUGCUACUCCAGCGAAUACCACUGCUUCUGCUAUGCCAGUUGCCUCCCAAGACUUCUUGACCCUUCAAAACUCACAUCCACCAUAGAAUACUCAUUCUCCUAAGAUCAAGAAAGAGCAAAUGCAAAGAGAGACAGCAGCAUCCAGGUCUCCAAUGCAAACUCGACUGCUUAAGUCUCCUUGGAACUAACUGCUACAAGGGCAGGAUAGUCAUUCCAUUGGGAUAGAGAAGGGCUCUGGGCUUCCUACUGCCCGCUGGAGUCAUGUCCCAUUCCAUGGAGAUUCAUAGCCAAAAGACCCCAGCAGGAACUUGUCUCUCUUUUAACAAGUCCCCUGAGUAAUCUGAUUCUCUGGCUCAGCAGCUAACUAGUCAACUCUUCAUCAUCCCACAGAGUAAGACCCUGCAUAUGACUGGAAGUAACCCACCCACCCAGGCUUUGAAAUAGUAGAUUAGAAGAGACAAAGGCUAUCUGCCUGCAUACUCUAUGCAGCCCCCUAGAAAGGGCAAAUCCAAGUGUGCUCCAUGACUAUAUUACAUAGUAUUUUCUUAACGCUUUUUUGGUGAGUAUCUGUUGAAAUAAUCACAUGAUUUUUAUUAUCUCGGUUGUUUAAAUGAUUAAUUCCAACUGAAUCAUCAAAGAUUGACUCAUCCUUGCAUCCCUGGUAAGUCAUGGUAAAUUAUUUUCUUGAUAUAUAUAGUUAUAGUCUUGUGAGAAUUUCAUUUACUUUUUUAUUGCAAUGAUGAUAAAAUGAAUGAGUGUGGGGAGUUGGUAGGGGAACUCUGAUGAGUUUUUAAGAAGCAGAUUUUUGGAAUCUAUGAAACUGAACUGAAAGGCCUGCUCAGCCUCUUCUGUACUAGCGCUAAAGAUAGCUAGCUCCUCCCAACAGAGUUCCAUUCUUGUAAGGGUCCAAGCCAAGCAUACCAUCUUGGGGUAGCUGUGUUAUCCAGGCACUAAAACUCAUCCCCUGGAGGUAUCCGAGCUCCCAUCAAUCAUCUCACUUUAGGACAGCCCCAGGCACUGAUACUUGUCAAGAAUAGUUUGUCUUACCUUGUCAAGGAGCAUGUCUUACACUAUAGCAAGGGAAGUAUGGACUAUUAAAGGUUCCCAACAAAGGUGAACUCUCGGAAAGCCAAUUAAACUGCUAGAAAGUCAGAUUAUGAGGAAAACUGUAAAGGAGUGAAACUGAAAUUGGGAAUAAAAGUUGUUCUGGGUCUGAUACCAACAUUGUACUAUGAGUUCCUUUAUAGGAAGGACCCUGCUAUUCACAUUGAGGGAAAUCCCAGAUGGGAACUAAAUAAUACCUCUGUUUUAAAAUUUUUACCUAGAUAAAUUUAGAUGGGGUCAUAAGGAGUUAAAGAGAUAGACUGACCCUUCUCUGACCCCAGGAUCACGAUGGAGCCUUUGGGGAGUCACUAGACGAUAGAUGAUAUGUUUUACAUAUAAUGUAUUGAACAGGAGCAUGCAGAGGAUCAUACUAUCCAUAGGGAUUCCCUCUUCCAUUUGGACUUUGUGCUAGAUUUUCUUUAUGACUAUUAACACCUUUUGUUAAUAUAUAUCCCCUUAUCUGAUGCCUCACUUUAUUUAUCGAAAGGUUAUCAAACAGACAAUUCUGGUGUAACAUAUUCCAGGGAAUCAUUUAUGAUUUUGACUCAUGUCAUGGGAGACUCAUUGUUUGAGGAGGGCCUUUAAGGCUGUGUUCUGCUUUUCACAUCAAACACUUUUACAUUCAUUAAGCUAGAAGCACAGUGGGAUCUUGGAUUCUCUAUUCUUUUCAGCCAGUUGUGUGUCUAAAAAUGUGAUCUGCUGCAAAAGUUUGCUUUUUCCCUAAAAAAAAAAAUUAAAUUCUUUUUAAUCAACAACAAAAAAAAAAUUUGCUCUUUUUCCUUCACACUGAGAAAGAAGAGAAAAAGAAAAGGGAAAAAACCCAAGUAUGCUGUUUAUUCCUUUCUAGUAUCCUCUUUAAGGAUACUUUUGAUGCAUAUCUAAAUGAUUUUCAUAAAAACUUCAUGUGAAUGGGAAAGUGAGAAUGUAUACUGGUAGUUACUGAUAUUCUCUUGAUUGCCUUUUUUAAAAUAUUAGGGUCUAAUUAUACCCUCUUCCUUCCCCAACAUCUUUGCUAUCUUCUUUCAUAUUCCUUGAAUACUAAUCCUUCAGUACCCUUAAAAUUGCAUUUUCCCACCUAGAACCGCCUCUAUAUAUUCUUGUUCUGGUCUAGCUGCUUUUUCCUUUGUUUUCUUGAGUGCCAUUUCUACUUCCUCAGGUAGUACUUUCAGUUUUCUGAUGCUAAAUGUCCAAAUGUAGCAGUUCCACUAUCCUUGAUUGUGAAAACAAGUUUGCUAUAAAAAAUUUUUCCUUUUUUGGCCAUUUCAUUGUCAUUCCAGUUUCAUCUUUAAAUGACAUUGGGAUAACUUUGCUGAUUUGGGUCUCUCACAAACUUUCUGUAACCUUGUUUUCCUCUCCACUGGUUCUUGAUGUUAUGUAGGGUUAAACUGUAUAUACUCUUCCAACGUAUCUCCUCAAAAUUUUACAAAGGAGUUAAUAUUCUAAGCUGAUAUUGCAUUUGGCUCUCAUGUGUUUCUGCUUAACAAAGAGAUCGCUUGUUUACUAAUGGGAUUUCUCAGCUCUUUUGGUCUCAUGGCAACUGAUUUAUAUUAGUUACAUUUUUGUAGGAAAUUGUUUUAAUUAAAUCAAUGUCCAUUCUUCUAUCUACCCUCGCCUAAUCUUUCCCCCCUUUUUGCAGCAGCAGUUUGUUCCAAUAAGCCAGGUCAGAUUUGUUUUAAUUUCAUGAAAAAUCUUUCUCAUUAUUUUGCAUUACAUUUUAUCUUUGCUCUAACAAGUCAGCAGUCUAAUUUGUACAGACUCAAAUCAGUAAAAAGUUGUUUUCGGUUCAAACAUAAUCAACAUCAUUUGUUUGUGUUUUUAUUUUUGUUCUUGCCAUUUCUAGUGUCCUCUAAUUCCUUUCUCAACAUGAAUGAUAUAUAGGCAUGAGGGUUCUAUGUAGAAGACGAGUCUGAAAUAUCUCCCAUUCAUUCCUUGCCUUUGAACCAUAUUUUCCCCCAUAUUUUUCUUCACCUUAUGCUCUACCGACCUUUUUUUUUUUAACCCUUACCUUCCAUCUUAGAACCAAUAAAUACUGUGUAUUGGUUCUAAGGCAGAAGAGUGGUAAGGGCUGGGCAAUGGGGGUUAAGUGACUUGCCCAGGGUCACACAGCUGGGAAGUGUCUGAGGUCAUAUUUGAACCCAGGACCUCUGUUCUCUGGGUCUGGCUCUCAAUCCAUUGAGCCACCCAACUGCCCCUACCUACCUUUGUUUUGAAGUCACCAAGUAUUAAUAUAGAUGUUGAAUUAAUCUAGAGGGGGGUCACAUCAAGUUCUACAUAGAAUUUGUCUAUUUCCUCAUUCUUUGCAACUGAUGUUUACACGUAAGCUGCAGUUCUUCUUAUGAAGAAGGUCUUUUGGAAGGUACUUAUUAUAAACACUGCACUGUAAAGUAAUGAAAUGUCCCAUAAGAUCAUGUUUCUUGAUGCGUUUGGAAACAUGACAGAACCAAUUCCACUAACCCUUUGAUUUGCCUCUCUAAGGAAAUCCUGUGAACCAUCCUUCCAUUCAAUUUCCUUUUGAUUGUUUUUGUUUUUGUUUUUUGCUUUAAUUUAUAGCAAGAAUGUCAAGACUUACAUGACUCCUUUCCUUCAGUCAGCACUCAUUAGACAAAGGUUUCACUUUUAGAAUACAAUCAGCUAGUUUAAUGCUCCUAGACCUAAACAUUGUGUGAUUCUUAGCGAUGUUGGUGUUCUUUAUCAACCCUCUGCCACCAUUAAUGAACAGGAUCAAAGAAAAGUUUCUAUUUUUUUCCUUCAUUUCAUUGGUUGCCAUGGCCAAAAAAAAAUUAUCACCAAGUAUUUCAUACUCGCAAUGGUUCUUUUUGGCCAUCUUCUUGUCAUUCUGCUGUGCUCCAGCCUCUUUCUCUGACCUCCUGUGCUCCUGACUAAUAAGAAUUCACCAUAUUGUACCAGCCUUAAACCCAUUGGGCUUCUUGGACCAUAUUGCUGUCAUGCUGCUACAGGUAUCUCCAUCCUGUCACUCCCACUGCUUUUUCCCUUUCUCUGGGAAUAUUAAUAAAAAUCAUUACUGCCAUUAUUCAAAUUACUGCCAUUAUAUCAAAUGCCCUGUGACUCCAGUUGCCAUCCCUGUGGCUUCCUAGACUCUCUCUCUGGCCAUCACUUCCCUUUAUGCAGAAAUGCAUUAUCUUCUCCUUUUAAAGUAUCAGCUCCUGGAGGGCAGAGAUUAUAUGUGCUUAAUAAAUGUUUUUCUCAUUCAUUUAAUCUAGUUUCACAGAAUCAGAGUUAUAAGAGACUUUUAGCCAUUUAGUCCUACUGAUACAGGAAAGGAAUCCCCACCAUAACAUAGUUUCUCAGUGGUCAUCCAGUCUCUGCUUGAGGGCCUUCAAGGAGAGGGAACCAUUAUCUCUCAGGUAGUCCAUUUGGAAAGCUUUCAGGUGAUCAGCCCUCUGUAAUUCUCUUAGCUGAAACAUGGUCUAUUGCCAAGAUUGAAUCAGAGCUUUUUGAGCCUAAUAGAAGACUGCAGAUCUUGUGCUCUUUUGGGAUAGCACUCAAAAAUUCAGGGUCACCUCAAUUCAUUAAUGAAAUCUCAGAAUAGGAUUUGUGGAAUCAUUAUAUACUCUUAAAUUUGACUAACCGUUUUUAGAAUUCUUUCUCAAAAAAGAAAAAAGGUAUCCUUUCUAUGCUAAGCUGCAGGUUUAGAUGCUAAGCUAAAACUACCUUUUAAAAAGUCUUACCUUUAAAAUAUUUAAGUAUUUUUAAGUAUUCUGUAGGAAGUGCAGCAGUUUGGUUACUAACACAGUGGGAAGGAGUAGGACAGCUAAUUCUAGAAUGCAAUAAUUUUGACUCAGGGUAGAAUAGAGACAAAUAGGGCAGAAGUUGAAUUUUUUUUACUAGUUAUACCAGCUCUACCAUUCAGGAAGCUGCCCUUUCUGGUCAAAGCCUUGACAGAUGUGCCCAUACAUCCCAGUAAUAUUCUACUACAUUCAUAAGUUGCUGACCUAACCAAGAAACCUAAUAUAAUCAAGAAACAUAUUCAUACCCCAAAAUCAGAGAUCAUUUUAAUUGUAGCAUGAUUGUCAAAAGGUACCAAACCCAAGCUAACAGUGCUUGAAGGAAGUCCUGCUACUGUGUACCAGUUUUCUAACUACUGAAAAACUGUGGCGCUGUCUAUCUUAACCCUUAAUCACAUUAGCAUUGAACGAUGAUACUUUUAUAACACUGAUGCACAACCAUAGUUUCAAAGUACCUGGUCUGACCUAGUAAGAUCUCAUAGGACACUUUCUAGCUGUGUAACUCUUAAUCCCAUCUGCCUACCCUUGCCUUUCUGUAGUAGAGUUGUCAAUAGCACAGAAAGUCAGGGGGCUUUUUUUAACCACAUAAAACCUUGCUGACCAGUUAUAGUGUAAGAAAAAGCAUAAAAGGAAAAGUCUUCCAUAUAUUUCUGCAAUGCUAGAAUACCCCCAAAUAGGUAUCCCAGUUGAAUCCCCAGAGAUAUUGUUCCCAGGCCAACAAAUACACCAGUCACUGGAAAGCUACUCCAGAUUUGGGGUGUAUUUUGGGUCAAUAUCCACUUAAGAUCAUAGCUUAAGAUCCCUAUUAAUGUUUUUUUUAAAAAAAACCAGACCAACCAUAAGAUAUAUUAGUUCAAAGCAAAAGACAUCGUGUUAAACAGUAUAAGAAAACAUGAUCCAAGAAAGAUUUCUACGCACUCCACUGCCUGUUCUGAUACAAAUUGAGGUACAUUCUCCCAUGGGUUACCACACUUUUAGUGGAAAGGGGAAAACGUAUGGCCAGGGCAAUUCAUGCUCUUAAAAUGACAACCCUGCUGGAAACCUGUGCCUUCAAACUGCUAUAUUCUCUAUGCUGUUAGAAAUGACAUUUACAAGAAACAAAGAAAGUGGGAGGGGGCAAUUUAAGGCUACUGGAACAUUGGGGAGACCACCUGGUAAUAUUUAGGCUACUAACAAACAGAAUUUUCCCAUUCUUUUCCUGGAAUCUGACUUUAACCAGAAAGACAACAUGCUGUUGUGAGGAAUGUUGGACCUCAAAUCCGAAGAUCUAGUAUUUAAUUCUGGCCCCCAUCACUUAUUAACUGUUUAUCUCUUAACAAAUCAGUUGAACCCCAGUUCUUGUCUCUAGAAAAAGGAAAUAGCAAUACCUUCCUUACCUAUCUCAAAGAGUUAUUAUGAGGCUCAAACAAGAUAAUAUAUAAUGUGUCUGAAAGUGUAUUAUAAUUGCUUUAUAUAUAUAAAUAUAUAACAUAUUAUUUAUUUCCCCAGUUACUUUCUUAGAUUUGAGCUUGUAUGGAGAGAGAGAGAUUCUAGCACAGGUCCCUUAAUUUUGAUAGCCUUCUUUCUCUGUGGAGUCUGUGUGUGUGUGUGUGUGUGUGUGUGUGUGUGUUUCUCAAUUUUAAAAGUCUUACAGACACAGUGCUGACUCUGGCAUUCCCUUGUGUUGGUGUCCACUGUGACUCUUGGAGUCAUGGUGAAUUUAUCUGGUAUUAGUCCAAGGAUUACUGGAUGCUUAGUUUUCCAUACCUGUCAAAAGCUAUUAUUGAUGGGCACAUUUUAUAAAUGCAAUGAAUAAAUAAACAGCAGAUAGCUAGUCCCCUCAGCUUUGUGCUUAUUAGAGGCUCUGAUGGGCAGCUGAUGUCUUUGCUUCUCUCUAAGUCUGGGCCUUCCUUUCCUGGAAAAAAAAACCACAUAAGAAGGAAAUAACACACUUAAACUAUACAUUUUAUAUGUACACAUAUUUUAUAUGUAUAUAUAUGUACACACAUGUACAUAUACAUAUAUGUAAGAAAGUUGUGAAUAAAUUGAUGGGGAUUAGGACAGCAACUGGUUACUUGUGGGAAUUGAGCAAACUAGAAUGAUACCAUCUUGUGACAAUUCUGGAGCUAGCUCAAUUUCCUUUCUAUUUAAUUAUAGGCUUAGUCCGAAUUCUAUCUUGUGAGAAAAUUUUAUUCAUUUGUGAAAAUUGGGAGAAAACCGUAUUACAUUGUUUGAACCUUACUCUGCAUAGCUGGGAAACUGGAUCACUUAUACUCGCUGUUUAUAGACCCAUAACCAAAGACCUAGGUUAUAUUGACCAGAAAUGUAGUUAAAUCCUAAGUUUGAUGUAAAGAGUUUUCUCAUAAUUAUAUAUUUCAAGAAACCUAUAUAUCUUAUCUGAAAACUGCCCCCCCUCCAUACUGAUCAAUCAGGUAUUGUUUCUACCUUCUUUUCUUUGUUUACAGAUACUUGGGGAGGAGUAGGAAACCUCUUUUCCUGAAUUCAGGAAAUUGUAUCUGUUCUCUCCCUCCCAAUUUGGAAAAUCUCUCAUCUUUAUCCAAUUAGAAAUCAUAUUACCAAAAGUUAUGUUGUUUCCUUUUAAUUAAUUGAUCUUAUUUGAUUAUUUUUAAUGUAUAAAAAUUUAUUUUCCUGAAUUCAGAAUAUAGCCCUAAACUGAGGAAGGGGUUUGGUCCUGAUUUGUUAGGCAAUUGGCAUGCAUUGCUUAAUAAAUCAAUAUGCUCAGAAGAUCAAACCUUUGUUUCCCCAACCAUUUGAUCUUUUCCCCAUUACAUGUCUGAAUUAUUUUGGUCUUCUGAAUCAAGACUAGUUAACUUUAGUUAAAGUUGUUUUGUGUAUAGGGCUAUUGUCAUUUUUCUGGAUCCUCAUGAUCCUCAUUGCCAAAGGUGAUAUAGACUUAGUUUUGACCUUAAAGAUAUCUCUUUAUACAAAAUGUAAAAGUCCUUUGUUGCCACCUAUAGAUAAAGCUUUUGUUCCAGCAAAAAGUAUGUCUCCCUAUACAAAAUAUAGGUAUCCCUAUUCAUACUACAUUGGAACAUUAUGAUGGUUAUAACAUAGCUAGUCACCCUUUGGCCUUGGCUUUUAAAAAUAUCUGUGGCCAAACAAACAGCUGUAGAGACCAGAGCUGAGAUACAAAAAGAGGAAAGGUACCUGCUCAUCUGCUGUAGACCCCUGUGAGAAACCAAGUGUGCCCCAGUGAGGAAGAAGCCAUGGGACCUAAGAAAUGGAGUCUGUGAAUUAUGCAGACUGUGCAUGUCCCCCAUGGUUAGUGGAGGGUCAUCAGUACUCCAUAGACCUCAAGUGCUCUUUGGGGGAAUGUGUGUGUGUGUAGGGUGGGGAGGGGGCAGAAUCAGAGUUGUACUAUAGGUCUACAGAAUCAUCCAGGUCUCUUUACUGACUCUGAUUGCCUUACCCUUACAGGAGACUUCAGCCCUAGGUUAAAUCCAUGAGUCUGGUGUACUGAACAAGACCCUACAGCAGUGAUGGGGAACCUUUUAAAGAUGGAGUGCUGGGUCCUGCCCCCACUCCACCCCUCUGAGUACCAGGCCCCCUCUUUCUCAGUCCCCUCCACUCCCCCCUCCUUACCCCACCCAGAGGAGGGAGAAAGUGCUCCUAUUGGGCUUCUGGGCAGAGAGGUAGGGGAUGUGAAAAAUGUCUUCAGGCACAGAGGAAGGGGGGAGGGAAGCAGCUCCACCCAAGUCUCACCCAAGGGGGUGGUGGAGGGAGAAAGGUACAUGUCCAUAGAGAGUGCUCUACAUGCCAUCGUUGGCACCCGUACCAUAGGUUCACCAUCACUACCUUAGAGUGAGUGGAAACCCACUAGAGGGAAAAGGAAAGUUGUUUUUAACUGUUUAUGGGCUCUUUUCUCAUUUUGGAGGGCUAUUUUUUUGGUCAGGUUAAUAAAAUCUGCCAAGUAGCCAAUGUGUUGUUAGUCUGAGUGCUUUGCAUAGGAUCUCUGCUUCCUUUCUUUUAACUGUUGAGACUUAGAUACAGUAUGAAGUUUUACUUUCCUAGGGGAAAGUUGGUUGGGUUAUCAGUCAAAAUAAGGUGAUUUGUAUGAUGUCCCUAAAAUUGAAUCUGAUCUGUGUAAACCCAGAGCUACGUUUCCAAGUUCCUUUGAUUGUUUUCAGACACCUGGGGAGGAGUGGGACACCUCUUUCCUCAAAUUCAGGGAAUUGCACCUGUUUGCUUUCUCCCUCUCAACUUGAAAAGCUCCUAAUCUUUCAUCUAGUUAGAAAUUAGAAGCAUAUUCAUGCUUCCAAUAAACUUCCUUUCCCACUUAUACAUAAACUGCACAUACACCUAUCUUUCACACAUUCUCCCCCACACAGUCCCUCUCACAUUCAGCCAGCUCACAUACUACCCACGCCCCUUUCUAGAUCUGUUUCUCUUCUUCCCCUCACCCCAAGGUUUCUGAAGGAGGAAGUUUAUUUUCUUCUUUUUUUCUCUUUCAGAGUAAGUCAGCAGCUGCCAGGGAAACAGAAGGAGUUAACAGCUAUAUUUUUAACUUGGCACCCAUGGGAAUAAAUGACAACGUCUAACGUAUGCAUUAAUACGUGGUGAAGUAUUCUGGGAACUGAUCAAUGCCCUAGCUGUUGCUAUCUCUUUUGCCUGAGAAAAUCCACUUUCAGAAUCUGUCCUCUUAGGCUGCUUGCAAGCAUAUACAACUGCCAUGUGCCUCUGCCCCCAAGGCAUGGAGAAGAGCAACUCCUCUAACCAGAGUCCAUUCUCCUGAGUCCCAGCCAGCCAAGCAUCUUGGAAGAAGCCCUAGUUACAGGGAUUACUGUGUGAAGUAUACUACUCAAGAAUCUUUUUUUCUCUGCGUCUUAUCUCCAUUUGGGUCUACUCUUAAGCAAUCCCCAAGGCUGAUGCUUUGGAACUCCCACUACGAUCUGUGUGCUGUCUAAGAAGUAAAUCUGAGUGAUGAUCUCUUCUAUUUCGGUUCCUGCCCCAACAUGGUCUUGAUUUGGAUGUGGGGCAAGCCAUUUUUGCCUCUGUUUCUUGGCUACUUCACCUGCCUAUCUCCUGUUAUCUCCCUGUCCAUUCUGGCCUGAACAUCUCAAUAUUGACCUCUGCUGACUGGGCUUUUCUCAAACUGAGAAAUCCUUUACAAUUUCCCCUACUGAAAUAAACUGACAUAGCAAGGGUUAGUGGUUAAACUCCAACAGGAAUGGUGCCCAUCCACUAUCGGUUCAUUGGGUUAGCAAGAAAGCCCUUUUCCACCUCAAAAAGGGCAGAUAGAAGACCCUGAAAAGUACCAGGCAAAUGUAGAGGCAAAUAUAGAGAAAGAAGAGGUGAAUGCUGCCUCUCAUUUCUAGAACAAGAAGAACCAUAAUUCCUAGAGAAACUAUGAGCAUUUACUCAAAUUUCCAUCUCUGCCCAGUGAUCCAGUUCCAAAUGUCCAACUGCCUGCUGGAUACUCCUAUGUGGAUAUGACACUGGCAAACCAAAUCUUCCUUAAACUGAACUUCUUCACUCCCCCCAGAUUUCUCCAGACCCACUUUAUUUCUGUUACCACUAAACUCCUAAUCACCAGGAUUCAAAGCCAAAGGGCUAUCUUUGGUUUCUCCCUGUCCCUUGCUCCUUGCAUCUAAUAAAUUGCUAGUUGCCAAGUCCUAGAAAUUCUUCCUCAACAAUGUCUCUUGCUGAUGUGGUGGAAUGAGUGCUGCUUUUGGACAUUUUAGGCCCUGAUUUCAAAUCCUGACUCUUUUAUUUACUACCUUUGUGAUGUUAGUCAAGUCAUAUCCCCUCUCUCAGCUUUUUUUCCUCAUCUACAAAAAAAGAUAAGAUAAAGAUAUUUGAUACAGUUGGAUAAGAUAUAUGAUUCUAUUUCAAUCCUUUCCAUAUUUAUGAUUGUCUUUGAACAGUUUCUCAUUUCUUCUUACUUAGAUUUAGAGAUGGUAUUUUGCAAAAGAAAUGAGUUUGCAAGCAAGAGCCUUAGAAUGCAGUGGAGCAGUGAAGACAGGAGAGAGAUGAUUGGAAUCUUGGAGAAAGAGAAGGGGUUUCUGGGAGUUGAACUGCCAGCUUGUGGAGAUGCUCAUGAAUUCUGAAGAGAGAGCCAACUCUGAGACCCUUGCUCCAGCACUUGGAAGUGAAACCCACUCCUGCCAAGGAUUUCCUAUCAAAACUAAGAUCUGCAUAGUCCUGCAAUCUUUCCUGUCAUGUUGAGAAGAAUAAGACUAAAGAAGGAGCAGAUUCACACCGCUUAGUUUACCUUCAGGGGUUAUUCCCUGAGGUAGACAGAAUUGCUCCUAAUUCUGACCUCUCACCUGCUUCAGCUAAUACCCAGAGAUUUAUUCCUUUUGUGGAUUAGCCUAGGAUUAGACAGCAUAGGAAAGAAACUCUAGAUAGAGAGGAGAUUCAGAUUGGUCUCCACUUUAGCUGAGGGCUGGCAAGGCUUGAUGUUGAUGCUUGUUUUAUUAGUUUAGGGAAACCUUACAUCCUCUUUCUUGAUCCUAUCCCUGUUUACUUCAUACAAAUAAUUAUACAUCACUGAGAAGCAGUCUGAUCCAUCAAUCAGAACAUAAGGGAGAGAAGCAGUCUUUUGGGUUUUUAUGCUGUAGAGAGGGUUUUACCUCGAUGGGGUUGAGCCAAAUUCCCAGUCAACUGUCAUUGACCUCUCUCUUAGGUGACCUCUGCCUCUGAGGUGAAUGCCUUAAACUGGCUAGGUUACGUAAAACCUAGUCAACCAUCUAUACAAUCUCCUAAGGCAUUUAACUGCCAUUUCACAGUAUGCUUUAGCAUCCCCUUUUACACGUUUAUGGCUGUCUUUGAACAGUUUCUCAUUUCUUCUUAUCUAGACUAUGGCAAUAGACUCUUAACUGGUCUUCCUGUCUCUGGUUCCUUCCCUUUCUAAUCCAUUCUAAGUGUCACUGCCAAAGUAAUCUUCCUAAUGGACUGUCCUAAUAAUGGCAUUCUUCAAAAACCUUCAGUGAUUUGCCAUUACUUACAUGUAAGAAUGAGGUUGAUUGGCUCACUCAGUCGAGUGAUCUCACCCUAUUUAAAGUGAUUAGAUGUGGAAUCAAUCAGCUUCAAACAUAGGCUUUAGCCCAGUGGUUCUCAACCUUUCUAAUGCCGUGACCCCACAAUACAGUUCCUCACGUUGUGGUGACCCCAAACCAAAAAAUUCUUUUGGUGGCUACUUCAAAACUGUAAUUUUGCUACAGUUAUGAUUCAGAACGUAAAUACCUGAUAUGCAUUAUGUAUUCUCAUUGCUACAAAUCAAACAUAAUUUAAACAGUGAUUAAUCACAAAAACAAUAUUUAAUUAUAUGUUGAGAAAUAUUAAUCCAGCAGGAGGCAGCCUGAGCGCUGGGGCAGGAGGUAAGUCCUGCCUGGGGAGGGGGUCUGCAGAUGCUGCCUUCUUCUUCCUGUUGUCUCCCUCCAGCUCUAGCUGAGGCUUCACUUUGCUGGGGUUACUCAGCUCCGUUAUCCGCUCCAGGACUCGUUCUUAACCCCUCCGGAGUGCUUGGUGCUCUCUCUGGGUGUCUGUUUGAGUCCAGUCUCCAGGCAACAGGGUAAAUCCAUCGCCCCUCAUAGGGGGAGGGCUGAUCAUAGGUAACUAAUAUUAGUACAAUGUGUGGGCAGCAGGGUCCGUUCUUUCUGAGAUCUUGCUGUAAAGUAGCGGGAUUUCUCAGCAGCUAAAGCUAUUGGAAAUAUGUAUUUUCCGAUAGCUUUACGAGACCCCUGUGUUUUGGUCGUUCGACCCCUGCCAGGGUUGCAACCCACAGGUCGCUGCUUUAGACUAAGCAUUGGAAUUGGAAUGUGUUGAACAAGAUAAGCCAAGUCUUUUCCUUUCCCUUUUGGAUGGUACCCUAAAUAAUACCCCUCAGGGGCAGUAUUGCUGGAAUGCUUUGCUUUUUUCAAUCUCUUAAAUGACUCUCAAUUUCAUUGAUAAAUUAUAGAGGAUCCCUGAGGCAUGACCAAAAUCAUGGAAGCAUGAUGGCCUGCCCUGAAGUGAUGGCAGUGAAAGUAGAAAUGAAGGACUGAAUUGAGAGACUUUAAAGGAAAAAGUCAGGCUUUGGUGCCAGAUUGAAUGUAGAGGAUGAAGGAGGAAGAAAAGUCCAAAGGGGCAUGAAGGUUUCUAACUUAGAGGCAUCAUUAAUAGAAAUGAAAUUAUUAUAAAAUGGAGAUUGUUUUGGUGGUAAGAUUAUGAAAUUGUUUUGGACAUACUGUGACUUUUUCAGGAUAUUCGAUUCCAUAGAAUCUUGCUAAAAGUAAUUUUCCUCAGAGCUCUAAGAGAGGCAUCCAUUAUACAGUUAAUAUUAAUAGAGCAGAUCUGGGAGACACAGCUAUUUAUUUAUCUGAUGACUUGCUAGGUAGCCCUAGAGAAGUCAUUUCCUUUUUCUAA